ensembl:lncRNA
GCAAAAGGACACAAAAGCACUUGUAAAGUUCAAUUUUAACGGUAUUAGGGGCAAACCUACCAAUCUGCAUUGAAAUCCUUUGGAGCACAUUAAAGGAAUGGAGUACAUGGAGCCUUGGGCACGAAGUCAUUCAAGUUAAGGUAAAGAGAGCUGCUAUUAGAAGAAGCUGCACACUUUGGGGGCAAGCCUGAAACAGUGGCCAAGAACAGAGUCUAAUCCACCACCAACAUAUGAUCCUUUGCUGGGAAACAAGCCUGCUCUACACAGCCUUGGGAACGAGCUAAGCCAGAUUGGGGAAUAAGAAUAAGGAAGGAUUAGAGGAAACAAUGCAG